UAACAGGCUGAUGCGAUCCCUUCGGGGUGAACUAGGCGCUGACGAGUGGCGGACGGGUGAGUAAUACAUAGGAAUCUACCCAGUAGUGGGGGAUAACUUGGAGAAAUCCAUGCUAAUACCGCAUAUGUCCUACGGGGCAAAGCAGGGGACCUUCGGGCCUUGCGCUAUUGGAUGAGCCUAUGUCGGAUUAGCUAGUUGGUGGGGUAAAGGCCUACCAAGGCGACGAUCCGUAGCUGGUCUGAGAGGAUGAUCAGCCACACUGGGACUGAGACACGGCCCAGACUCCUACGGGAGGCAGCAGUGGGGAAUAUUGCACAAUGGGCGCAAGCCUGAUGCAGCAAUGCCGCGUGUGUGAAGAAGGCCUGCGGGUUGUAAAGCACUUUUAUUGGGAAAGAAAAACCCGGAGCUAAUACCUCCGGCAUUGACGGUACCCAAAGAAUAAGCACCGGCUAACUCAGUGCCAGCAGCCGCGGUAAUACUGAGGGUGCAAGCGUUAAUCGGAAUUACUGGGCGUAAAGCGAGUGUAGGCGGUUGCCUAAGUCGGAUGUGAAAGCCCCGGGCUUAACCUGGGAAUUGCAUUCGAUACUGGGUGGCUAGAGUUUGGUAGAGGUAAGUGGAAUUCCGGGUGUAGCGGUGAAAUGCGUAGAUAUCCGGAGGAACAUCAGUGGCGAAGGCGGCUUACUGGACCAAAACUGACGCUGAGGCUCGAAAGCGUGGGUAGCAAACAG
rnacentral:rRNA from 1 species